AUUGAACGCUGGCGGCAGGCCUAACACAUGCAAGUCGAACGAGUGGCGGAGGGGUGAGUAAUGUCUGGGAAACUGCCAGAUGGAGGGGGAUAACUACUGGAAACGGUAGCUAAUACCGCAUACCCUCGGAUGUGCCCAGAUGGGAUUAGCUUGUUGGUGGGGUAACGGCUCACCAAGGCGACGCUCCCUAGCUGGUCUGAGAGGAUGACCAGCCACACGGGAACUGAGACACGGUCCAGACUCCUACGGGAGGCAGAAGUGGGGAAUAUUGCACAAUGGGUGCAAGCCUGAUAAAGCCAUGCCGCGUGUAUGAAGAAGGCCUUCGGGUUGUAAAGUACUUUCAGCGUGGAGGCGUUCCCCGUAGAAGAAGCACCGGCUAACUCCGUGCCAGCAGCCGCGGUAAUAC
rnacentral:rRNA from 1 species